CGGCUGCGCGGCGGCGGCACCUUCCCCCGCGGGCGGCGGCGAUCCCGGCUUAGGCUCCUUGCCUCCUUCGAGAGCAGAAUCGUUAGGGGCUGGAAGGCACCUCUGGAGGUCAUCUCGACCUACCCUCCUGCCAAGGCAGGGUCAGCUGGAGCAGGUAACACAGGAACGCGUCCAGGCAAAUGUGAGAAGAUCCCUUCCCAUUGGUCUCGCAUUAUGUGCAGGACAGUGGCCGAGGUUUUGCAGUGGCAAAGCAACACAAGCUUAGAGACCACCAAGAGCAGUCUUCCAAGUUUUCUUCUGUCAACAUCAUUUUCCCACCAGCACUUUCCAGAAAAUACUUGUUUUCUGCUGCUUUAAUUCAUUGUACAUCUGGAAACAGGGCUCAUAUGGGACCUCUGACCCCCUAUGCCCUCCUGCUGACACUCACCUCUAACUGCAGUGUGUUGAACCUCGAUGCAGGUGCCCUGGUGUGUAAAUCCUUGCUGGAGGCUGCACUGCUUUCAUUAAGACUCUGCUUAGCACCCAGCAAAAGCAAUUUGUUUCAGCAUUCAGUUCUAAACAGUUGACUUAGCCGUGUAGUCUUAGAUAUGUAGUUUAAAUAUAUGUGCAAUUUUGUCUUUAGUAAAAGGUGUCUGGGGAAGGAGAAGGCAAGUUAUAGCUAGAGUAUAUGUGGCUCAGUACUAAUAUUAAACAACAAAGGGCAGGAGAAGAAAUGCACAGUAUUUUAUAUUGUGUAGCAUAUGUUUUGGCCUUUUGCCCAGGGACAAGUUAUGUUAGGAUUAAAAUACCCAUGCUGCUAUUAUUUUUGUUUGUUACCUCUAUAAUUAGUCUUCAGCAGCUCUUUAAAAAUGUUUCCUAUGAGAAAAGUACUAAAUAUACCUUUGGAUAAAAGGAGAGCAAUAAAAUAUUUUGUUUGGAUUUAUA